rnacentral:tRNA from 1 species
GCGGCUAGCUCAAUUGGUUAGAGCACAAGACUUUUAAUCUUGGGGUCGUGGGUUCAACUCCCACGUCGCA